UCCCUGGUAGUCCAGUGGUUAGGACUCAGCACUUUCACUCCCAAGGGCCCAGGUUCAAUUCCUGGUCAGGGAG